AUGGAUCAGGAGCUGAUCGAGCACCUUGAGGCCAAAGUGAGUGCUGACAGCGCGAGAUCUCACCCUCUCAUCAAUUUGUUCAUACCAACCAUCGACAGCGAGCACGACAUAUGCUACACCCAUCCCGAGAAAGUUCCAGCGCAAUUCCAGGGCGUUCAAAAGGGGCACGUGGACGCGUCGCAAGAUACAGUUGGAGUGCGGCAUGCACGCGAUGUGUCACAAGACCGGCAAUACCUUGCCGGUGAUGGUCAAUGGCCGGCAGACGGGCAACAAAAAGGUUCUGGUGCUGCACAUUAA
rnacentral:rRNA from 1 species